rnacentral:rRNA from 1 species
AUUGAACGCUGGCGGCAUGCCUUACACAUGCAAGUCGAACGGCAGCGGGGGAGAAGCUUGCUUUUCCUGCCGGCGAGUGGCGAACGGGUGAGUAAUACAUCGGAACGUGCCCUGUAGUGGGGGAUAACUAGUCGAAAGAUUAGCUAAUACCGCAUACGACCUGAGGGUGAAAGUGGGGGACCGCAAGGCCUCAUGCUAUAGGAGCGGCCGAUGUCUGAUUAGCUAGUUGGUGGGGUAAAGGCCUACCAAGGCCACGAUCAGUAGCUGGUCUGAGGAGACGAUCAGCCACACUGGAACUGAGACGCGGCCCAGACUCCUACGGGAGGCAGCAGUGGGGAAUUUUUGACAAUGGGCGAAAGCCUGAUCCAGCAAUGCCGCGUGUGUGAAGAAGGCCUUCGGAUUGUAAAGCACUUUUGUCCGGAAAGAAAUGGCUCUGGUUAAUACCUGGGGUCGAUGACGGUACCGGAAGAAUAAGGACCGGCUAACUACGUGCCAGCCGCCGCGGUAA